rnacentral:rRNA from 1 species
ACUCUCGUGUCAGAGUUUGAUCCUGGCUCAGGAUGAACGCUAGCGGCAGGCUUAACACAUGCAAGUCGAGGGGCGAGCAUGAGACGGAGAUUCGUCGAAGUCUUGAUGGCGACCGGCGCAAGGGUGCGUAACGCGUGAGCAACUUGCCCGUUUCAGGGGGAUAACCGGUGGAAACGCCGACUAAUACCCCAUAGUAUUGAGUUUAGGCAUCUUUACUCAAUUAAAGAACUUCGGAAACGGAUAGGCUCGCGUGACAUUAGCUAGAUGGCGGGGUAACGGCCCACCAUGGCGACGAUGUCUAGGGGUUCUGAGAGGAAGGUCCCCCACACUGGAACUGAGACACGGUCCAG